GCAUCUCCUACCCAGGCAAAUGUUGAUUGUUCAUUACAGGAUUUUCCCAAAGACCUGUCAAUUCUUCAAUUUGGGCUCUAAGAUUCUUUGAAUGCCUCACCUCAAAAUCCUGGCCAUGCUGUUUAUUGUGGACUAUUAUGUUGUGAUUCUCACCCAGUCUCAUUCCAGCUCUCACUUUGAAAGACCUGCCUUCAAUCAAAUUUCCAAUUCUCAUUUGAUUUACAGAGCCUGUAGUCACUGAACCUAGGAAGGUAGAGGAAAAAAAUUCUCCUCUCCAACAUUUACUCUGAAGUUUUUUUCAAAUAAGAAAAUUUUUUAAUCAAACAUGAGACUAAUGGAAAGAACUCACAUAUCAAUAUGGGGGAGGACACAAAGACCGUUAAGCAAAACUUAUGAACAGGGCCAUGCCAGUGCAGGACCCCGGUCCAUGUGAGAAGCAGCACGGGCAGCUGUGCAGCCACAGGACAGCGUGGCCCAGAGGAC